AAAAUUGUCAAAUGUUUUAUAACUUACUGUCUAAAGGGUGUAAAAUAUGGAUAUAUCCGAAGAUUAAAAUCCGAAAUUUUUAGAGCUUCAAACUUUCCUAGAAAGUUUAUUACUAGGAAUCCCAUGUUGAAUGUUAUUUGGAAGAGACUAGGUUUGUGGCAGAAUAAAUGUUUGGGGGUUCCUUGUAGCAACUCAUGUAUUAUGUUUGAUUUGAUUUUUCUAAUAAAUCAUUAUUCAUACAACAAUCAUCUGCAACAACAUGUAGAUUUCAUCAAUGUAAUACAUCCUGUAAAUAAUAGUAACGAAAUUGCAUACAUCUUUCAUAGCAAAUUGAAACAUCCAUUGUACUGUUUAUAG